rnacentral:miRNA from 1 species
UGUGUGUGUGUAUAUAUGUGUGUGUGUGUGUGUAUAUAUAUAUAUAUAUAUACACACACACACACACACACACACACACACACA